UGACUGCGUACCUUUUGUAUAAUGGGUCAGCGACUUAUAUUCUGUAGCAAGGUUAACCGAUAGGGGAGCCGGAGGGAAACCGAGUCUUAAUUGGGCGUUAAGUUGCAGGGUAUAGACCCGAAACCCGGUGAUCUAGCCAUGGGCAGGUUGAAGGUUGGGUAACACUAACUGGAGGACCGAACCGACUAAUGUUGAAAAAUUAGCGGAUGA
rnacentral:rRNA from 1 species